rnacentral:rRNA from 1 species
CACGUAGGGUGCGAGCGUUGUCCGGAAUUAUUGGGCGUAAAGAGCUCGUAGGCGGUGUGUCGCGUCGGCCGUGAAAACCUGCAGCUUAACUGUGGGCUUGCGGUCGAUACGGGCAUCACUGGAGUUCGGCAGGGGAGACUGGAAUUCCUGGUGUAGCGGUGAAAUGCGCAGAUAUCAGGAGGAACACCGAUGGCGAAGGCAGGUCUCUGGGC